rnacentral:lncRNA from 1 species
UAGUUUAGUCUGCAAGACAAAUUACCAUAGAUUGAGUGGUGUAAGUAACAGAAACCCAUUUCUCAUAGUUCUGGUGACUGGUAAAUCCAAGAUCCAGUGUCUGAAUAGGACCCACUUCCUGGUUUGCAAAUGGCCAUUUUUUGCUGUGUCCUAUGAUGGCAGAGAGCAGGAAGAAGGGAAGCAAGCCCUCUCUAAUCCAUCAAAAUGGCCCUUUCCUAUCAUCAAAUUUCCUCCCAAAGGCUCCACUUCUAAUAUCAUCACAUUGAGGGUCAGGGUUUCAACACGUCAGUUCUGGGGGAACACAAACACACAGUCCAUAACACUAUCAUGAGUUCAAAACAAACUGUAAGGUCACAUUUGAUGUGUUUUAUCAAGAUGUCUUUUCGCAGAACUAUAAAAUAUUUUGUAUAUAAUUGUUGAAUCUUUUCUAAGAAUGUCAUCACCAUCAACAUAUUUGAAGUCAUGUCCCCUAAUGCUGAAUACAAAUAGAGUCCUAUGUGGCUUCUGUCAUUUGGGAGUCAAAAUUCUGUCUUAUAUAUAUUAUUUUUUCCAACCAUGUUAGUGCCAUUCUCAAAGACUUGCCUUGACGAUUGAAAAAAAUUAUUAAUAUAAAACUAAAAUUGUUUUAAUAUUUGGAGAUUUAAGUCAAGUAUGUUAGUAUUGUUAUAAACACAAAAAAUAUUUGCUAUUCUACCCUUUGAUUUCCAUGUAGUUGCCCAUGUAAAUGAAAUGGCAUCUAAGAAGUGCUGUCCACCCAGGCACUCCUGCAGCUGCUGAAGAGUUUGCUUGAUGGCUCACAAGAGUCUCUCCAUAGGAAUCGUUCCCUGCUGAAGGGAGCUGCCUCACCCCUGGUCAUGCUGUUCUCCCUGGGAGCAGCAUCUGUCCAAUAACUUGUCAAUCUGGAGGUGCUACCAUUGGGACAAUUCAGAAGUGCAAUCAAUACCUGCUCCAUAACUUUCAAUAGUAUUAAUGAAGUCUUCUUUUUUUAACUACAACUGCAUCAGAGUUCAUUUUUUUUUCUUUCUUAAAUUCUGCUUCCCUUGCUGUCCCUCUCUGCUGAGUAUAUUCCUCUAUAAAAAUGAUUGAAUUUCAGAAUCUCAGCCUGGCAUGACCUUCUCACAAGUGCACAUGUAUACAGAGCACACUGAGUACCCAGUCUUCUUAGGGCUUGAGAAAGAGCGUCUUGACCAACUAUUUCUGACACUUUGCUACAAUGUAUAUUGGAUGGGAAGGAGUGGACUAUGGAGGAUUUGUUUUCUGCAAAGCAAGAUUUAUUCUUCUCUUUAUGCAAAAUGCACAGGGAUGCCAAAACAAAUCAUUAGAGCUUGCACUAUAUUCCUUCCAUAAGUGGCCAUAUAUAGACAAAUCUGUUGACUCUUUCCUACAAGUAACAGGUUCUAUGAGUGUCUUUGUUUACACUGAUAAAUAGUGCCCAAAGGUAAAAGGAAUUUUUACUACUUACAUAACCCUAUUAUAUUAUCUACUGACAUGUAACAAACUAUCCUAAACUUACUUGCAGAAGACAAUAGAUGAUGGUGAUGAUGAUGAUGAUGAUUUCCUCUUACAGUUCUAGGGUUGACUGGGUUUAUCAUGUUGGCUGCCAACUAGGAUUUUAAGGGAUGCUGUAAGUUGGAGGCUGUUGGCCCAUGCAGGACUGUUGGCCCAUGUAUCCUGGGCUUCACAACAGUGGAGCAGCAGGGUUUUCAAGGGUCCCUUAAAAGAGCAAGGCAGAAGCUGUUUGCCUUUGAAGUCAGAAG